GCCAGGGUGGCGAAACUGGCAGACGCGCAUGGUUUAGGACCAUGUGGGGAAACCCUUGGAGGUUCGAGUCCUCUCCCUGGCACAA
rnacentral:tRNA from 1 species